GGUCCUAAAUUCUAUGAUCAAUAGAAAUCCACCACCUGUUAUUGUAGGGAUUUCUAAGGUCUCAAAAGUUUUGUAUUCAAAAAUUAUUUUUUUUGCAGGAAAAAAGAAGAAAUAUAUUUUUUUUAGGGCAAGAAAAAAGAAAUACUAUUUUAUUUUUUUUCUAGAUUAACCAAGCCAUGGAGGACCAUACUGUUGGGUGGAUGUCU
rnacentral:lncRNA from 1 species